UUCUGUAAGGCUGGCCUCUCCCUCACCUCGCGGUAAGGCUCAGGGCAGGGGGUUCCUGCACACCUUGCCUCUAGCAGAGCUAGUAUGAAGUGCUCUGUCCAGGUUUCUAUGAACUUUGCAGUUGAUAUUACUUGAUGGUCUCUUCACAAUUCUUGAUGCAUGCAGGAUGAACACCGUUACCCUCAUUUUAUAGAUGGGAAAAUAGGCUUGCUGAGGGAAAAGAACUUCUCGAAGGCACGCGUCUAAUAGUAAUCCCGUGGCUAACAUGUGGAGCGUCUCUGUGUCAGGCACUGUGUUAACGAUUGUUGUUGCAUCUUGAAACAACACUCCGGUGGGUAUUAUUAUCCUUGUUUGCAAAUGAGGAUGCAGAAGCAUGAGGAGGGUGGUUAACUCAGCUAAGGUCACAUGGUGAGUGCGGGCAGAGCCUGGGUGGUGGGCAGACCUCCUGACCCUCACUUGAAUGCUCUUUUUCCACCUUGUAGCUCCCUCUCCUCAUUCACAUCCUGGACUCCUGCCAGGCUGGGGCUUCACUGUAGGCAAGUGAGUGGCUGUCUCCUUGCUUGGAAAUUGGCAAAAUUCUCCCUCCUAAUACUUCUAUCCUCCCGUCUGCUGCAGGAUCUGAAAAUUCAGCCACUCUUUAGGAACUUUCUAGGGCAAGAUGGCCAAGGAGAGGUGCAGUGUCCUUCCAGGAGCUCCUAUCUGGGGGUGUGUCUGGAAGGCCGAGCCGCCGGAAGGCAAGGGCAAGGUGACUUGAAGAAAUCCAGGCAAGGGAGAGCAUCUUAUGCCUCCAUUAUUUAUAACUCAGAAAGAAAUUGUUUAGAUACCUUUAGUGUAAGUGCUAAGUCAUAAAACUGACAUGAAGAAAGGAGAAAGCAAUUAAAAUAAAAGGACAUCAAAAAACAAAAUUAAACCUUAUAUCUGGAUGGAAAGGUCAUACAAUCUGUCCCAAGUCAGACUUAGAAAGGGGCAAUGAGGGCCUAUUGCCCAUGUCAUCUGCAGAGCAAGUUUCUGCCUGAUGGUCAAGCCCACAGAAGCCUGGUGUGGGUGCAGGUACAUUCGACGGGACGCAGAAGAUGUUUGGUCAUAGACAGAUGGCCCCCUGGAGGGUCGGAGUGUCUGGCUUGUGGGGCUCUGCCUUAAUACACACUUUUACCAGUGACUCACUGAGAGGAAAGGUCGAGUUUGCCAAGCACAGAAAACUGAGUACAUGCAAGUGCCCAUACAGAAGAGCAGGGAAUUGUGUAAGUCCAAGCAGCAGGGGAACAUGAGGGGAUGGAGCAAGGUCAUAUUUUACCCUUGUGUUCAAGAUAACUGGGCAGGGACAGCAUGGAGAGACGUGGCCUCUAUGACAACAACUUGUGCUUAUGCAGCACUUGUAAGGCAUUUCCAUGAUCUCUUUAUGCCUCGAGACACACUAUGAUGCGGUAAUGGGGAAACUGAGGCUAGGAGUACCAGUGGAGCUCAGCGUGGAUUGUUUCUUGGGUUACUUCUCUGCUUUUGCCCCACAUCUCCAACCGGGCAGUGUGUUCUGCUCUUUCUUCAGAAUGCCUCUCACCUCCAAUCCAACCAUGUGCCAUAUUCCAGGAGCAGAUUCUCCCACUCUCUGGGGCUACUGCACAGCCGCUGCAUUUUAUCUCAUCCUCUCUUUCCUCCCAAUAAUUUGAUACAUGCCACAUGGGUCAGAUUGUGAGAUUUAGCAAGAAAUAAUGCGACACUCCUAGUAAAAUAAUUAAUAAAAAGUAAUAAAGUAAUUUUUAUUGUAUAGGACAUACUUAAAAUAUUGUUGUUGUUUAUCUGAAAUUCAACUGGGCCUCUACAUUUUAUAUGGCAACCCUACAUACAAGUGACAGUUUGGAAAUACCAUUUCCAUCAUUCUGAAAAUGUCCCAUUUCCCUGUUACCUAUAGGGUUUGAGCUACAAACCAAACUCCUACAGGGCCUGAGCAGGUAACAUGGAUGUAUGAAUUGGGUGAUCAGUAGAAGUAAGGCCUGGAGUUAAACUGAAAACUGAGGAGCAAGUGUUUCUCUACCCUAGACUUUCAAAUUCAGAUUUUAAAAAUAUACAAUAAAUCCUCAUUAAAGCAAAAAGUGAACAAAUGUAAGCAUCCGUGGCUGCUUCCCAUCUGAAACCAGGGUUAAGGCAAACCACUUGGCCUGGCGUUGCGGGGGUCCCUGACUGGGCUCCCGCCCUUCAUGCCCCGCGCUGGCACAGGCCCUCCCGGCCUCCUCCACCGGCUGGUUCUCCCUCAUCGCAGCCCUCCCUCCCCACUGGCCAUCCCCCACCGUGCCAGACGCUCCGGCCGCUCAGGUCCACAGUGACCACCCUUCCCCUGGUCAGGUGCCCCCCUCUGCUCAGGGACGACUCUAGCAGUCACAGCAUUUCCCAUCCAUCAGCCCAAAGGGAAGACAAAUGGACUUUGAGAGGCCCCUCCCAUGU